GACGAACGCUGGCGGCGUGCCUAAUACAUGCAAGUAGAACGCUGAAGGAGGAGCUUGCUCUUCUGGAUGAGUUGCGAACGGGUGAGUAACGCGUAGGUAACCUGCCUGGUAGCGGGGGAUAACUAUUGGAAACGAUAGCUAAUACCGCAUAACAGUAGAUGUUGCAUGACAUUUGCUUAAAAGGUGCAAUUGCACCACUACAGAUGGACCUGCGUUGUAUUAGCUAGUUGGUGGGGUAACGGCUCACCAAGGCGACGAUACAUAGCCGACCUGAGAGGGUGAUCGGCCACACUGGGACUGAGACACGGCCCAGACUCCUACGGGAGGCAGCAGUAGGGAAUCUUCGGCAAUGGACGGAAGUCUGACCGAGCAACGCCGCGUGAGUGAAGAAGGUUUUCGGAUCGUAAAGCUCUGUUGUAAGAGAAGAACGAGUGUGAGAGUGGAAAGUUCACACUGUGACGGUAUCUUACCAGAAAGGGACGGCUAACUACGUG
rnacentral:rRNA from 1 species